rnacentral:rRNA from 1 species
GACGAACGCUGGCGGCGUGCUUAACACAUGCAAGUCGAACGGAAAGGCCCUGCUUUUGUGGGGUGCUCGAGUGGCGAACGGGUGAGUAACACGUGAGUAACCUGCCCUUGACUUUGGGAUAACUUCAGGAAACUGGGGCUAAUACCGGAUAGGAUCUCCUGCUGCAUGGUGGGGGUUGGAAAGUUUCGGCGGUUGGGGAUGGACUCGCGGCUUAUGAGCUUGUUGGUGGGGUAGUUGCUUACCAAGGCUUUGACGGGUAGCCGGCCUGAGAGGGUGACCGGCCACAUUGGGACUGAGAUACGGCCCAGACUCCUACGGGAGGCAGCAGUGGGGAAUAUUGCACAAUGGGCGGAAGCCUGAUGCAGCGACGCCGCGUGCGGGAUGACGGCCUUCGGGUUGUAAACAGCUUUCGCCUGUGACGAAGCGUGAGUGACGGUAAUGGGUAAAGAAGCACCGGCUAACUACGUG